UUGAGAAAAGGGUGGACGUUUUACAUUAGGACCGUUGGUGAAGAAAAUUAUAAAUGAAGACGGCAAAACUAGAACAAAACCUAUACCUACUAAGACAUGAAGGGAAAUACCGAUUUUAUUUUAUAAGAGAGUUGUUAUAAUUUUGUUAAGACUUAGUAAGGACUGAAGCUACCGUGUCAUCGUGGAAGUAUUUGACAGCCUUGAGGUUAGCCUAGCAUCGUGUACCACCGAGAGAUAAUUGCUUGUGAAAGCUGAACGAGUUCAUGUUCCCAUGGGAUAUCGGUUACGGCUAAGGAGUACUGUCUGCAUUGAUAGCGGCGCUUGCUGUGGAUUUUGUGAGGAAACCUGCAAGGAACUGCCAUACUUCGCUGAAGGAAUAUCUACAAGUAUAGCCUAUCAAGCGCCUUUGGAGGGAAGGCGGUAUCACAUCCACAAGGAGCAGCUUGAGUUCCUCAUAGAUUGUCAUAUGACCAUCAGACAAAUGGCGGAUGUUCUCAAAGUGUCGCACUCUGUGGUCAAGCGGCGCAUGAGUCAUUUUCAGCUUUUCAGGUCCUACCCACUGUUGUCAGUUGUUCAGCUGGAUGAGAGGAUCAAAGAGCUGAUAGGGCAGAAUGAAGAACUUGGUGCAGUCUGUGACGGCACACUUAAGAGAAGGUGUUCGAGUCCAGCGUGUGAGGGACAAGAGAGAGUCUGAUCCAUGUCAACCUCCAGAGAGCUGCGAGGAGAGCCAUGCAGCAUCGGCUACACCGGAGGCAGUACAGAGUUGCAGGCCCAAAUUCUUUGUGGAACAUUGAUGGCAACCAUAAGCUGAUCCGUACAACACGACCCAGGAGAGGCCUACUGCAAGCACUGGAUUGGAGCCUUCAGAGCGUGCCUGCUGUGGGAGGACAACAGUACAUAAUUAAAACAGAACUUACAUUUUUGUAAUUCCCAAUCGGAACUUUUGUAAAUCGUUCAAAUAAAUAA